AUGACAUUCCCAGUCCCCAUUCCCGGUACCGAUUCCCGGUGCCCAUUCCCGCCGCCGCUCUCCCCGUUCCCGGCUCUCCGGUACCAAUUCCCGGUCCCCAUCCCCAUUCCCGGUGCCGGUUCCCGGUACCGGUCCCCAUCCCCAUUCCCGGUGCCGGUCCCGGUCCCCAUCCCCAUUCCCGGUACCCAUUCCCGCCGCUCUCCCCGUUCCCGGCUCCCCGGUACCAAUUCCAGGUCCCCAUCCCCAUUCCCGGUGCCGGUUCCCGGUACCGGUCCCCAUCCCCAUUCCCGGUGCCCAUUCCCGCCGCUCUCCCGUUCCCCGCUCCCCGGUGCGGUCCCGCCCCGCCCCGCCCCGCCCGGUCCCGCCCGGUCCCGCCCCGCCCCGCCCCUCUCCGCCGCCGCCGCCGCCGCCGCCGCCGCCGCCCUUUGUCCGCGGCCCCGGGCCCGCCAUGGCGCCGCGGUGAUGCGCGGCGGGGCCGGCCCGGGGGCGGCGGGGCCGAGCGCGACCGGGAGCCCCAUGCGGGGGCCGCCGCCAUGGGGCAGGUCCUGGGCUUCGCCCACUGCAAGGAGGCUCCGUCCACGGCCUCCACCACGCCGGACUCCAGCGAGGGUGAGCGGGACCCCGGACCCCAAAUCCCCGAAUCCCGAACCCCAAAUCCCCGAACCCCGAACCCCAAAUCCCGAACCCCAAAUCCCCGAACCCCGAAUGAACCCCGAACCCCAAAUCCCCCGGAACCCUCCUGAACCCCAAAUCUCCCCGAUCCCGAAUCCCCCCGGACCCCAAAUCCCCCCAAACCCCCCAAACCCCCCAAUCCCCCCAAACCCCCCAAAACCCCAAAUCCCCCCAAACCCCCCAAAUCCCCCCAAACCCCCCCAGGCGGCCCCGAGGCCUUCCCGGAGCUGCCGCCGGAGCCCCCCGAGGAGGAGGAGGAGGAGGAGGAGGAUGAAGAUGAGGAGGGGGCGGCGGCUCGGGGGGACCCCCGGGACGCCCCCCGGGACCCCCCCCGGGAAUUGACCUUCUCCUACAUCGCCUUCGGGACCCCCCCGGCCGAACCGGGACCCCGCGGCCGCCGCGACCCCCGCCGGGCCCGCGCCCCCCCCGCCCCGGGGCCCGGAGCCCCGAGCGGCCGCCGGGACCCCCCAAAAACCCCCCGGGCACCCCCCGGGACCCCCGAGGGGCUCCCGCGGGGUCUGGGGGGGGGCGGGGCUGAGGAGACCCCCGGGAGCCCCGGUGAGGAUUUUGGGGGGGUCCCUGGGGGGCGUCUGGGGGUCCCUUGGGGGGGUCUGAGGGGUCCCUGGGGGCGGUUGAGGGGUCCCUGAGGGGAUUUGGGGGUCCCUGAGGGGAUUUGGGGGUCCCUGAGGGGAUUUGGGGGUCCUUGGGGGGGUCUGAGGGGUCCCUGAGGGGAUUUG
rnacentral:lncRNA from 1 species